rnacentral:rRNA from 1 species
UGCCAGACUCCUACGGGAGGCAGCAGUGGGGGAUAUUGCACAAUGGGGGGAACCCUGAUGCAGCGACGCCGCGUGGGUGAAGAAGUAUUUCGGUAUGUAUAGCCCUAUCGGCAGGGAAGAAAUUGGACGGUACCUGACUAAGAAGCCCCGGCUAACUACGUGCCAGCAGCCGCGGUAAUACGUAGGGGGCAAGCGUUAUCCGGAUUUACUGGGUGUAAAGGGAGCGUAGACGGCCAGACAAGUCUGAAGUGAAAAGCCAGCGCGUAACGUUGGAAGUGCUUUGGAAACUGCCGGGCUAGAGUGCAGGAGGGGCAGGCGGAAUUCCUAGUGUAGCGGUGAAAUGCGUAGAUAUUAGGAGGAACACCAGUGGCGAAGGCGGCCUGCUGGACGAUGACUGACGUUGAGGCUCGAAAGCGUGGGGAGCAAACAGGAUUAGAUACCCGAGUACA